GACGAACGCUGGCGGCGUGCCUAAUACAUGCGAGUAGAACGCACAGUUUAUACCGUAGCUUGCUACACCAUAGACUGUGAGUUGCGAACGGGUGAGUAACGCGUAGGUAACCUGCCUGGUAGCGGGGGAUAACUAUUGGAAACGAUAGCUAAUACCGCAUAAUAUUAAUUAUUGCAUGAUAAUUAAUUGAAAGGUGCAAUUGCACCACUACCAGAUGGACCUGCGUUGUAUUAGCUAGUAGGUGAGGUAACGGCUCACCUAGGCGACGAUACAUAGCCGACCUGAGGGGGUGAUCGGCCACACUGGGACUGAGACACGGCCCAGACUCCUACGGGAGGCAGCAGUAGGGAAUCUUCGGCAAUGGACGAAAGUCUGACCGAGCAACGCCGCGUGAGUGAAGAAGGUUUUCGGAUCGUAAAGCUCUGUUGUAAGAGAAGAACGGGUGUGAGAGUGGAAAGUUCACACUGUGACGGUAUCUUACCAGAAAGGGACGGCUAACUACGUG
rnacentral:rRNA from 1 species